rnacentral:lncRNA from 1 species
GCGCGGAGGCCCCGCCCAUCGGAUGUCGAAGCGGCGCGCUAUGAUGACGUAACGGGGUGCCGGCUCGCGCGGAGGGGCUCGGCAUGAGCUCAGUCUGAAGGAAUCCCCUCAACGCCGCUCGUGGCAGUGGGAGGAGAGGCCUCGCUGGGAGCGGCUGCGGGACGACAGAUCUCCCCAGAGCCGAUGCUGUCGUUCCUCUCGCAACGGUGCUGCUGCAAUGACUUCCAGUUGGGCCCAGCGUGGUGAAUAUUAAA